rnacentral:misc_RNA from 1 species
GAUGAAGAACGCAGCGAAAUGCGAUAAGUAAUGUGAAUUGCAGAAUUCAGUGAAUCAUCGAAUCUUUGAACGCACCUUGCGCCCCCUGGUAUUCCGGGGGGCAUGCCUGUCCGAGCGUCAUUACAACCCUCAAGCUCAGCUUGGUGUUGGGCCCCGCCGCCCCGGCGGGCCCUAAAGUCAGUGGCGGUGCCGUCCGGCUCCGAGCGUAGUAAUUCUUCUCGCUCUGGAGGUCCGGUCGUGUGCUCGCCAGCAACCCCCAAUUUUUUUCAGGUUGACCUCGGAUCAGGUAGGGAUACCCGCUGAACUUAAGCAUAUCAAUAAGCGGAGGA